AGUACAAGACAAGAUCAUAUCAGAGAUACCAUUGUACACAAGAGCUGAACAACAAUUUGGCCUUCCUAUUGCAAAAAGAGCUAGAACGAAAAGAUCUCCUGUUGAAUGGUGGAAUUUAUAUGGUAAUUCAGCUCCCAAUCUCCAAAAAUUAGCCAUUAGAAUUUUGGGUUUAACAGCUAGUUCUGCUGGAUGUGAGCGUAACUGGAAUGUGUUUGAGCAUAUCCAUACCAAAAAAAGAAACAGAUUGGAGCAUCAAAGAUUGAAUGAUCUAGUGUUUGUUAAGUAUAAUCGUGCUUUAAAAGCUCGUUAUGACUUGCGGAGUGUC